GUACACGCUGUGACUAGCAUAUCAAUAAGCGGAGGAAAAGAAACUAACAAGGAUUCCCCUAGUAACGGCGAGUGAAGCGGGAAGAGCUCAAAUUUGGAAUCUUAAAGGGUUUCCCUUUACGAAUUGUAGUUUAAAGAAGUGUUUUCUGUUGAGGUUUUGGCUAAAAGUUCUUUGGAAUAGGACAUCAUAGAGGGUGAGAAUCCCGUAUUUGACCUUUACUUUCAACUUUGUGAUACACUUUCAAAGAGUCGGAUUGUUUGGGAAUGCAGUCCAAAAUGGGUGGUAAAUUUCAUCUAAAGCUAAAUAUUGGCGAGAGACCGAUAGCGAACAAGUACCGUGAGGGAAAGAUGAAAAGAACUUUGAAAAGAGAGUUAAACAGUACGUGAAAUUGUCAAAAGGGAAGCGUUUGACACCAGUGUUGUUUUUCCUCGAAAAUCAAUUAAAGAACUUGAUUAUGCUAAGGUUGUAUUAGACCUUUAUCAGCUUGCAAUUUGGUUUUGGGUCUCUUUUUGAUGCACUUUUCGGUUAACAAGUCAACAUCAAUUUCCUUUGCUGUAAAAAGGUAAGAGGAAGGUGGCUUCAAUUUCGGUUGAAGUGUUUAUAGCCUUUUAUCUCUGCAGUCGGGGAGAUUGAGGUCUGCAGCGUAGAUCCUUCGGGGCUAGAUACAUUUAUGCUAAGUUAUAGCUUUUCAUAGACAACUUGUUGACUAUGUUUAGUCAUGUAGCUUACUCGUAAGUGCUAUUUUACCUACGCUUAGGAUGUUGAGCGCAUGUCUCUCUCU
rnacentral:rRNA from 1 species